rnacentral:rRNA from 1 species
AAGAGUACGUGAAACCGUUCAGGGGUAAACCUGUGAAACCCAAAAGAUCGAAUGAGGAGAUUCAUCGUCAGCUUAUUCAGUAUUAAUGCAGGCUAUGAUGUGAUAAUAGAAUCCUUGUGGUCACUAAAUUAUACUUGCUUGUAUUAUUUUUGCUGGGUAUGUCGGCGUGCACUUCUCCUCUAGUAGAACGUCGCAACCCGUUGGAUGUUUAUCUAUGGCUUAAAUGGUAGCCUUUGAUAUUUUUUAUAUUAAAGACCUUUAAUGUCCUGAUAAACUGUUUGACGGUAUACAUAUGGUAUUGAGCCGCAAUUAUUUGCGUUAGACUUACCGCAAGUAUGACUUUAUUCUAGUAGAGCGGAUCUAAUGCCGUCGCUGGACAAAGUCUGCUGUUAGCUGUGUAAUGUCUUUAACUGGCUUAUUUACCGGUUAGCGAUGCUACUGCUUUGGGUAC